GCAAACUUGGUCAUUUAGAGGAAGUAAAAGUCGUAACAAGGUUUCCGUAGGUGAACCUGCGGAAGGAUCAUUAAUAAAGUCCUCCGGCCCGCUCCCCCUCGCUGGGGAGCGGGCGGGAUGUACCCGGUACGCCCACGUCCCGCGCGGCACCUCGUGCCCGCGGUCGGGGGUGUUCACCCUCCACACACCGUGAAACCUCCCUAUUUGCUUCGGCAGCACCGGGCCGUUCGCCGCGCGAUCGCCGGGUAAGGCUGCCAGAGGCCCGUCAUAAAACCUGUCGAUGAGAUGUUAUGCUGUCUGACGCUAUUGUUUGAGAAAUCAAAUCACUGUUAAAACUUUCAGCAACGGAUCUCUUGGUUCCCGCAUCGAUGAAGAACGCAGC
rnacentral:misc_RNA from 1 species